rnacentral:rRNA from 1 species
AGUGAACGCUGGCGGUAGGCCUCACACAUGCAAGUCGAACGGCAGCACAGGAGAGCUUGCUCUCUGGGUGGCGAGCGGCGGACGGGUGAGGAAUACAUCGGAAUCUACUCUGUCGUGGGGGAUAACGUAGGGAAACUUACGCUAAUACCGCAUACGACCUACGGGUCAAAGCAGGGGAUCUUCGGACCUUGCGCGAUUGAAUGAGCCGAUGUCGGAUUAGCUAGUUGGCGGGGGAAAGGACCACCAAGGCGACGAUCCGUAGCUGGUCUGAGAGGAUGAUCAGCCACAGUGUAACGGAGACACGGUCCAAAAUCCUACGGGAGGCAGCAGUGGGGAAUAUUGGACAAUGGGGGCAAGCCUGAUCCAGCCAUACCGCGUGGGUGAAGAAGGCCUUCGGGUUGUAAAGCCCUUUUGUUGGGAAAGAAAUCCAGCUGGCUAAUACCCGGUUGGGAUGACGGUACCCAAAGAAUAAGCACCGGCUAACUUCGUGCCAGCAGCCGCCGUAA